rnacentral:rRNA from 1 species
CGCCCGCCGAAGCCCCCCCUGAACGCUGUCUGAAGUUGCAGUCUGAGAAACUAGCUAAAUUAGUUAAAACUUUCAACAACGGAUCUCUUGGUUCCGGCAUCGAUGAAGAACGCAGCGAAAUGCGAUAACUAAUGUGAAUUGCAGAAUUCAGUGAAUCAUCGAGUCUUUGAACGCACAUUGCGCCCUCUGGUAUUCCGGAGGGCAUGCCUGUCCGAGCGUCAUUGCUGCCCUCAAGCACGGCUUGUGUGUUGGGCCCCCGUCCCCCCCUCUGCCGGGGGGACGGGCCCGAAAGGCAGCGGCGGCACCGCGUCCGGUCCUCGAGCGUAUGGGGCUUCGUCACCCGCUCUUGUAGGCCCGGCCGGCGCCAGCCGACCCCAACCCUAAAUUUUUGUCAGGUUGACCUCGGAUCAGGUAGGGAUACCCGCUGAACUUAAGCAUAUCA